UUUGAAGAUUGUUGUGUCGGUUCCUCGAUCAUUUUUUUUCUCCUUUUAACGAACGAAAUGAAAUUUCGAAUCGUUUCAAAAACCAAUUUUGUGGUUUGAGAAGUGAAGUGAGUUAGGCAAAUCGAUUCGUUGUGGAAGGUUAGCGCGAAUAUGGUUGUUUAAAGAUGAAAUGAAAUGGUGAAUUUCACGCACGUGUUUUGCCGCAUGCUGAAGACAGAAAUUAAUUUGAACGCGCAAGUCGAUGCCUGAUCUGGUCGAUGAUUGGCACAUGUGCUUAGCUGUUUCUUCAUAAAAAACACGAUGGAAAUAGACUAUUGCUUAACUGUGGGGUGCCAUUAUUGGUAAAAAAAAGACUGGGUUUUCUUUCACAGAAAUACAAUUUUCAAGGUGGUUGGAAAUUACUGGUAAUGUUAAGUUCAGUAUCAUUGCUACUUUCUUGGACUGUUGGCAAGUUAUCUGCUAUAUGCCCUGGAUUAUGGUAGAACCCAAUUGGAAAGCAGUGAGUCAAGACAAUUUGCAUACAUUCUGCAAUUGGAGUAAUGAAUGUGUGCCACCACCAGAGAUCAUUUCUGUCCUUUCCAAUCAAGUAUCUUUCAAUCAGGAAGUUAUGUAAUAAGAUAGGAUCAUGACUAAUGUAAAAUCACCGCAAUCUAAUAUAAAACCAGUUAGGUUACUAUCUUGGAUUAACAUCAUCCAAUUUGCAAAGAAUGCUACUAUAUAAAACAUGCAGCACCCCCUGAAACUUUCAUGAAGCAAUUGCUUUCAUGCUAAUCCGGAUAAAACGCUCAAGAAAGAUGUUCAAAUACAUAUGGAUAUCAUAAUUGUAAAAUCUUGUGGUUAGAAGAGAGUGAUUUAACAAACAUAAAGGAAAGAAAUGUGCUGUCCAGUAUAUACUUUUGGUAACACAAUCUAUUUUCUGGACAAUGAAUUUUGAAGAUUGGAGGAAUACGAAAAACCAAUAAAAAUCUCUUCUGUGCAGGACUAUGGUGUGAUUAAUCUGUUGGAUGCUGUCCUGGAUUGGGCCUUAUAAAGAAUCUUAAAAGUUUGCAAAAGUGUGUGGUGCCAUCUUAAGCAUAAGGCAUUAGAACUUGUUGGACCAGUUCAGAAAGAAAAUGGUAUCCAUCGCAAUACAGUGAUAAACUUAUUCUGAACCUGCAACUUUUGAUGCCAACCAGAUUUAGAAACUUGAAACUGGAUGAUGCUAUGAAAGUUAUUAUCAUGGUUCCAAAUUAGUGGAUUUACAUGGAUUAAUAUAUAUGGAUUUUACUUGUACACAUGGUGAAGCAAUAUUGUAUCUACCCUCUGAAUAUUGAUGUUGCCAAGAUUAAGGAAGUAUACAGCAACAAUAAGGAUG